rnacentral:rRNA from 1 species
GACGAACGCUGGCGGCGUGCUUAACACAUGCAAGUCGAGCGAACAGACGAGGAUCUUGCUCCUCUGACGUUAGCGGCGGGCGGGGGAGUAACGCGUGUAUAACCUACCUAUAAUACUGGGAUAACUUCGGAAAACCGGAGCUUAUACCUGAUAAUCUAUUGAACCGCAUGGUUCAAUAGUGAAAGACGGUUGUUCUGUCACUGAUAGAUGGAUCCGCGCCGGAUUAGCUAGUUGUUAAGGUAAAGGCCUACCACGGCAACGAUGCCUAGCCGAACGGAGGGGGGGAUAGCCCACCCUGGAAGUGGGCCACGGACAAGGCUCCUACGGGAGGGAGCAGUAGGGAAUGUGACGCAACGGGCGAAAGCAUGACGGAGCAGCGCCGAGUGAGUGAUGGAGGUGUUGGGAUCGGGAAACUCUGCUAUUGGGGAAGAACAAAUGUGUACGUAAAUAUGCACGUCUUGACGGUACCGAAUCAGAAAGCACCGGCUAACUACGUG